rnacentral:rRNA from 1 species
AACGAACGCUGGCGGCAUGCCUAACACAUGCAAGUCGAACGGGAUCCUAGCUUGCUAGGUGAGAGUGGCGGACGGGUGAGUAACACGUGGGAAUCUGCCUUUUGGUUCGGGAUAACCGCGGGAAACUGCGGCUAAUACCGAAUGCCCUCGUGAGAGGAAAGAUUUAUCGCCAGAAGAGGAGCCCGCGUCCGAUUAGGUAGUUGGUGGGGUAAAGGCCUACCAAGCCGACGAUCGGUAGCUGGUCUGAGAGGAUGAUCAGCCACACUGGGACUGAGAUACGGCCCAGACUCCUACGGGAGGCAGCAGUGGGGAAUAUUGGACAAUGGGGCGAACCCUGAUCCAGCAAUGCCGCGUGAGUGAUGAAGGCCUUAGGGUUGUAAAGCUCUUUUGCCAGGGAAGAUGAUGACUGUACCUGGAGAAUAAGCCCCGGCUAAACUUCGUGCCAGCAGCCGCGGU